rnacentral:tRNA from 3 species
AGCCCCGGGGUGUUACAUAUUAGAUUGCAAAUCUAAAGAGGCAGGCUAAAUACCUGCCGGGGCUU